rnacentral:misc_RNA from 1 species
GAUGAAGAACGUAGCGAAAUGCGAUAAGUAAUGUGAAUUGCAGAAUUCAGUGAAUCAUCGAAUCUUUGAACGCACCUUGCACUCCUUGGUAUUCCGAGGAGUACGCCUGUUCGAGUGUUAUGAAGCUCUCAAAACGCAAUUGGCUUAAAACCUGAUUGUUGUUUUGGAUUUGAACUUUGCCGUGUUAUAACGGCUGGUUUUAAAAGUAUUAGCUGGUACUAGAACGAAUUGGUUCUACUCAACGUGAUAAUUAUCUGAUCGUUGAGGACAUUCCUUUCACGAGGAAUGGCCAUAGUAAAUUCAAUGGACUGCUUCUAAUCUGGCUUUAAUUCUUUAUUGGAUUAACCACUUUUCAAAUCUGACCUCGAAUCAGGCGGGACUACCCGCUGAACUUAAGCAUAUCAAUAAGCGGAGGA